UGUUCUAUGGCCGAACUGGUAAAGGCAUUGCCGAUCACAGGCAAAGUUGCGGGUUCGAGUCUCGCUGGAACGG
rnacentral:tRNA from 1 species